AUUGAACGCUAGCGGGAUGCUUUACACAUGCAAGUCGAACGGCAGCGCGGACUUCGGUCUGGCGGCGAGUGGCGAACGGGUGAGUAAUGUAUCGGAACGUGCCCAGUAGCGGGGGAUAACUACGCGAAAGCGUAGCUAAUACCGCAUACGCCCUACGGGGGAAAGCAGGGGAUCGUAAGACCUUGCACUAUUGGAGCGGCCGAUAUCGGAUUAGCUAGUUGGUGAGGUAACGGCUCACCAAGGCGACGAUCCGUAGCUGGUUUGAGAGGACGACCAGCCACACUGGGACUGAGACACGGCCCAGACUCCUACGGGAGGCAGCAGUGGGGAAUUUUGGACAAUGGGGGCAACCCUGAUCCAGCCAUCCCGCGUGCGAUGAAGGCCUUCGGGUUGUAAAGCACUUUUGGCAGGAAAGAAACGUCGUGGGCUAAUACCCCGUGGAACUGACGGUACCUGCAGAAUAAGCACCGGCUAACUACGUG
rnacentral:rRNA from 1 species